ACAAAGGCCAGUGCGUUUGGGGUCAGCUCAUAGGGACGGAGGUGACAAAGGCCAGCGUGAUUGGGAUCAGCUCAUAGGGACAGAGGUGACAAAGGCCAGCGCACUUGGGGUCAGCUCACAGGGACAGAGGUGACAAAGGCCAGCGUGUUUGGACUCAGCUCACAGGGACAGAGGUGACAAAGGCCAGCAUGCUUGGGGUCAGCUUAUAGGGACAGAGGUGACAAAGGCCAGCAUGUUUGGACUCAGCUCACAGGGACAGAGGUGACAAAGGCCAGCGCACUUGGGGUCAGCUCAUAGGGACAGAGGUGACAAAGGCCAGCACGCUUGGGGUCAGCUUAUAGGGACAGAGGUGACAAAGGCCAGCACGCUUGGGGUCAGCUCAUAGGAACAGAGGUGACAAAGGCCAGCGUGUUUGGGCACA